ACGGGAGGCAGCAGUGGGGAAUAUUGGGCAAUGGGGGAAACCCUGACCCAGCAACGCCGCGUGAAGGAAGAAGGCUUUCGGGUUGUAAACUUCUUUUAGUAGGGACGAACAAAUGACGGUACCUACAGAAAAAGCAACGGCUAACUACGUGCCAGCAGCCGCGGUAAUACGUAGGUUGCAAGCGUUGUCCGGAUUUACUGGGUGUAAAGGGCGUGUAGGCGGAGCUGCAAGUCAGAUGUGAAAUCCCGGGGCUCAACCCCGGAACUGCAUUUGAAACUGUAGCCCUUGAGUAUCGGAGAGGCAAGCGGAAUUCCUAGUGUAGCGGUGAAAUGCGUAGAUAUUAGGAGGAACACCAGUGGCGAAGGCGGCUUGCUGGACGACAACUGACGCUGAGGCGCGAAAGCGUGGG
rnacentral:rRNA from 1 species